GAGGAAUAAGCAUCGGCUAACUCCGUGCCAGCAGCCGCGGUAAUACGGGGGAUGCAAGCGUUAUCCGGAAUCAUUGGGCGUAAAGCGCCUGUAGGUUGUUUAAUAAGUCUGUUGUUAAAGACUAGGGCUCAACCCUAGAAAAGCAAUGGAAACUGUUAGACUAGAGUAUGGCAGGGGUAGAGGGAAUUUCUAGUGUAGCGGUGAAAUGCGUAGAUAUUAGAAAGAACACCGGUGGCGAAAGCGCUCUACUGGACCAUUACUGACACUCAGAGGCGAAAGCUAGGGUAGCAAAAGGGAUUAGAUACCCCUGUAGUCCUAGCCGUAAACGAUGGAUACUAGAUGUUGUAUGUUAUUUACAGUAUCGUAGCUAACGCGUUAAGUAUCCCGCCUGGGGAGUACGCUCGCAAGGGUGAAACUCAAAGGAAUUGACGGGGGCCCGCACAAGCGGUGGAGCAUGUGGUUUAAUUCGAUGCAACGCGAAGAACCUUACCAGGGCUUGACAUACUACAGAUUCUUUUGAGAGAGAGAAGUGCCUUCGGGAAUGUAGAUACAGGUGGUGCAUGGCUGUCGUCAGCUCGUGUCGUGAGAUGUUGGGUUAAGUCCCGCAACGAGCGCAACCCUUAUUUUUAGUUACCAAUUCGUUGGGUUCUCUAGAAAGACUGCCGGUGACAAACCGGAGGAAGGUGAGGAUGACGUCAAGUCAGCAUGCCCCUUAUGCCCUGGGCUACACACGUGCUACAAUGGCUAAGACAAAGAGUUGCAAGCUCGCGAGAGUAAGCUAAUCUCAUAAACUUAGCCUAAGUUCAGAUUGUAGGCUGCAACUCGCCUACAUGAAG
rnacentral:rRNA from 1 species